AUGGGUGGAUACAGAGGGCCGGGCCGCUGGCAACAUCGGUCCAAUCCUUAAAGUCAUCCUCAGUUCGGACUGGGGUCUGCAACCCGACCCCACGAAGCUGGAUUCGCUAGUAAUCGCGCAUCAGCCAUGGCGCGGUGAAUACGUUCCCGGGCCUUGUACACACCGCCCGUCAAGCCAUGAAAGCCGGGGGCGCCUGAAGUCCGUGACCGCGAGGGUCGGCCUAGGGUGAAACCGGUGAUUGGGGCUAAGUCGUAACAAGGUAUC
rnacentral:rRNA from 1 species